CGCUAACCGCAAGGAGGCAGCUAACCACGGUAGGGUCAGCGACUGGGGUGAAGUCGUAACAAGGUAGCCGUAGGGGAACCUGCGGCUGGAUCACCUCCUUUCUAAGG
rnacentral:rRNA from 1 species